rnacentral:rRNA from 1 species
CGCGGCCUAUCAGCUUGUUGGUGAGGUAACGGCUCACCAAGGCGUCGACGGGUAGCUAGUCUGAGAGGACGAUUAGCCACACUGGGACUGAGACACGGCCCAGACUCCUACGGGAGGCAGCAGUGGGGAAUCUUGCGCAAUGGGCGAAAGCCUGACGCAGCAACGCCGCGUGGGGGAUGAAGGCUUUCGGGUUGUAAACCCCUUUCAGCGGGGACGAUUAUGACGGUACCCGCAGAAGAAGGACCGGCCAACUACGUGCCAGCAGCCGCGGUAAUACGUAGGGUCCAAGCGUUGUCCGGAUUUAUUGGGCGUAAAGAGCUCGUAGGUGGCUUCGUAAGUCGGGUGUGAAAACCCCAGGCUCAACCUGGGGACGCCACUCGAUACUGCGGUAGCUAGAGUCUGGUAGGGGAUCUCGGAAUUCCUGGUGUAGCGGUGAAAUGCGCAGAUAUCAGGAGGAACACCAGUGGCGAAGGCGGAGAUCUGGGCCAGUACUGACACUGAGGAGCGAAAGCGUGGGGAGCGAACAGGAUUAGAUACCCUGGUAGUCCACGCCGUAAACGUUGGGCACUAGGUGUGGGGACCUAUCGACGGUUUCCGUGCCGCAGCUAACGCAUUAAGUGCCCCGCCUGGGGAGUACGG